rnacentral:rRNA from 1 species
GACGAACGCUGGCGGCGUGCUUAACACAUGCAAGUCGAACGAUGAAAGCGGGGCUUGCUCCUCUGGAUUAGUGGCGAACGGGUGAGUAACACGUGAGCACUCUGUCCCUGACUCCGGGAUAACUACGUGAAACUGUAGCUCAUACCGGAUAUGCUCCAACGCGUCUUCUUUAUCCGUCGGUAAGAAAUUCAGUUAGGGAUGUGAUGGCGGCCUAUCAGCUUGUUGGGGAGGUAACGGAUGACCAAGACGACGACGGGUAGCAGGCCUGAGAGGGUGACCGGACACAUUGGGACUGAGACACGGCCCAGACUACUACGGGAGGCAGCGGUGGGGAAGAGUGCACAAUAGGCGCAAGCCUGAUGUAGCAAAGCCGCGUGAGGGAAGACGGCCUUCGGGUUGUAAACCACUUUUAGCAGGGAAGAAGCGAAAGUGACGGUACCUGCAGAAAAAGCGCCGGCUAACUACGUG